GUUUCCACUUUGCAUAUCCUGCUCUGUUCUGCCCUUGAGGGUUUUCUGAGCUCCCUCUUCUGUCGCCAAAAUCAGCAUUUACUGUCCCUCAGCUGCGGGAGAGCCUGAGUGUUGGGGAGUAAGGAGCAGCUCUGACACCCACAGAGAAAAAUCUGGCUGGUACCACACAAACCAACAGACUAGUUCUCAAUGGUAAUGUUUCGAUGGUGGACAGAAUUCUUGUCCUCAAUAAAGGUGCUGGCAUCACAGAGACACCUCAGAAAACGCUGGGGAGUAUGGGCCGGCCGGUCCCCCAACGGAUCAAAUCCACCUCUCCAAGUCUGCAGGCCUACCCCGCACAUUUCCCAAAUGGGCCCAGCAUGACCAGUGUCACCCCCUCCUCCUGGAUGCUAAGUCCCCAAGGAUGGAAAAUUCAACCCCAAGUGUCCACAGAGCCAGCCUCACCCAGGGGAACGUGGCAGUCUCACUGCAUUGAGGGCUGUGCGCUUGAGGCCAAGGCCUCCCUUUCUCCAGAGAUGAGCAGGGAAAGUUGCAACGUGAAGAACAAAGUAAAACAAACCGGUUGGAGCUGUGAAGUUGGGUGGUUCAAGUG